UCUUCUAAAGCCCCAGUUUACGGUGGAGGAAACCGAGAGUCCAGGAGGAUGUUUUGAACAAAGAUGAACAGAGCUGUUCCCCAGGCCGGUGUUUCUCCACUGUUCUGUUCCGAGAAGCUUCCCAGAUCAAUGCAGUUUUUGGAUUGAGAAAACCCACGGAGAAAACUUGAGCAUCUCAAGCUUAGAAACCUAUUUCCGGAUCAAGCAAGCUGCCUGGAUGGAAGCAGUGAGAAAAUUAAUCAGCAAAAUCUUCUGAAAUUAGAGGACAGAACGCGAGAUGCAUGCCUGAAGAAUGGAAAGCAGAGGUGAAGGAGCGAAACUCGACAUCUGAUCACAAAAGGAAACCCCGACGGCUUUCCAGUAACGUGUGUUUUUACAUAUUGUCCUUUAAAUCCUCACCAGCUAAUCCUUCUGAGUCCCUAACGGGUUCAGAGUUGUUGGCCCAGUCCACUGGGGCAGCUGGAGCACAGCACUGCGGGCUGGGUGGCCUAUACACAACAGACACUGGUUUCUCAGAGUCUGGAGGCUGGGAGUCAAACGUCAAGGUGUCUGCAGAUUCAGUGUCUGGGGAGGACCUGUU